rnacentral:rRNA from 1 species
UAUGCAGUGAGGAAUAUUGGUCAAUAGCCUAACGGCUGAACCAGCAACUUGGGGGAAUGUAAGCAUAUGUAGGGCCUAGCCACACAUAUGUGUAUCGACUAUGUCGUCUAAAGUUCUAGAUAGAUCACUGAUAAUGACAAUUUUCUAUCUAUAUGUCUUGACCAAAUCUCGUGCCAGCAGUCGCGGCAAUACGAGGAAGACUAGUGUUAUUCAUCUUUAUUAGGUUUAAAGGGUACCUAGACGGUAUAUCAAGCCCCAAAAGGGUACAGGUAAACUAGAGUUUUAUGUGAGAGGUAUAUAUUAGUACUAUUGGUGUAGGGAUGAAAUUCUUUGAUACUAAUAUGACGGAUAACAGCGAAAGCAAACCUUUAUGUACAAACUGACGUUGAGGGACGAAGGCUUGGGUAGCAAAGAGGAUUAGAUACCCUAGUAGUCCAGGCAGAGAAUUAUGAAUGUUAUACAUUUGCUAAAUGCAGGUGUAUAAAUGAAAGUGUAAGCAUUCCACCUCAAGAGUAAUGCGGCAACGCAGGAACUGAAAUCAUUAGACCGUUUCUGAAACCAGUAGUGAAGUAUGUUAUUUAAUUCGAUAACCCUCGAAAAACCUUACCACAAUUUGAAUGUUAUUUAUUUAAAUAAUACAAGUGUUGCACGGCUGUCUCCAGUUAAUGUCGUGAGAUUUUGGUUAGAUCCAUAAAAUUAACGUAAACCCUUACUUUAUUUGUUUUUUAUAAAGUGGUUCUCCACUAUAUUGGAUGUGAUAACAG